rnacentral:rRNA from 1 species
UACGAACUGUGCGAACGUUAUUCGGAAUCACUGGGCUUACAGGGUGCGUAGGCGGCUUGUUAAGUAGGGUGUGAAAGCCCCCGGCUCAACCGGGGAAUUGCGCCCUAAACUGGCGAGCUGGAGUGAGAUAGGGGUGUGUGGAACUUCCGGUGGAGCGGUGAAAUGCGUAGAUAUCGUAAGGAAGACCAGUGGCGAAGGCGGGUCACUGGCCCGAUACUGACGCUGAGGCACGAAAGCGUGGGGAGCAAACAGG